UACGGGGGGGGCAAGCGUUGUUCGGAAUUACUGGGCGUAAAGGGCGCGUAGGCGGUUGGAUAAGUCAGCUGUGAAAACCACGGGCUUAACUCGUGGCCUGCAGUUGAGACUGUCUGGCUUGAGUGUGGGAGAGGAGAGUGGAAUUCCUGGUGUAGCGGUGAAAUGCGUAGAUAUCAGGAGGAACACCGGUGGCGAAGGCGGGUCUCUGGGCCGAUACUGACGCUGAGACGCGAAAGCGUGGGGAGCGAACAGG
rnacentral:rRNA from 1 species